ensembl:lincRNA
CGGGUGCAUGAGAACUUGCAAUACAGGAGCUGAACCAGUGAGGGUCCCAGGGUGCUUCUCAGAGAAGGUGAUAAUGAGAUGUAGUUCUCACCUGAAAGAAAGCAGCAGGGAACUGUGGUGGGCAGGGCUGCAGAGCAGAGGAGGGGAUUCGUGCUCAAGGAAACAGCAACAGUGCCGGGGAGGCGUGAAAGCAUCCAGAAUACUAAUGCUCAAAACAUGCCAAAAAACAAGGAGCAACAAAACAAUGGAAAUGGAAACAACCUUGCUGUGGCCUGCUGCAGACACCCAACCCUUGAGGAGUUAUUAGGACUUAUUACAGGAGAAACCAGCUGGGCUGAGGAAGUGAGACAAGGAAGGGAAGGAGGCCAUUGUGGGCUUCAUUAAUGAGCUGUUACUAUGUGGACAGCUGGGGCUCCAUCCCACUGGAGGGCUUGCUUCUGGGACACUGCAUGUAAUCUGCUUCAGAGUUGUCCUACUCAAGUGGGAUUGGAUUGGUUAUUUAUCCACCCACUCUUAACUGACAUACUGAGAUCUUCUUGUGAAGGAAUGAACUUCCUGGUACUUCAGUCCUGUCAUGAACACAGACCAAGCAGUCCUCUGUGAUUAGAGAAUGCUCUCUGCAAGAAGGUCACAGGUGCUUGCAGCAAAAAGCCAUCUGCCUGUAAGGGAACAGCAGAUGUCAAGAAAAUACAGGUGAAGCAUCAACACUUGCAUUGCUGUGGUCAAAUUCUGUCCCAUCUCAAGUUCACUCUGUCUGAUAACUGAUUCUUCACAGUGGAGUUCAGCCAUAAUUUCUUUAAAACACAACAAAACAAAUUUCAGUAGGAGGAUUAAUUGGACCAGCUACAGCCCCUGCUGCUUCAAUUGAUCCCAAGGACAUAAUAGACAUUUUUACUGCCCUCUUCUACUGUCCACUCUAGAUGCCCCUCAUGCUCAUUCAGCACUUCCGCUUAUGUUUCUUGGGCAAUUGGUGGCCCAGACAUUGAUACUGGAGCUUCUGAGCCACUGGUUACUGUGCCCUGGUUGUGCCAUGAUUGCUGACUGCCCAUUCGUGGUUACUACUGGACACAGAAGCAAAAAACUGUCCCCGAGUCCUUGAUAUACUCCUCUAUGCCACCUUUAACCAGUAGCAACCAUAGAUCCUAAUGAUAAUCAAGGUUGAUUAUGCCCAUAGAUCCUAAUGAUACUCAAGGUUGAUUAUGCCCAUAGAUCCUAAUGAUAAGGUCGAUUAUGCCCACCAACAUGACCAUUCAUUUCUCUGCCUGUGCAUAUAUUGGUAUGCGAGCCCAAAAUGACCAGAUGACACUCACUAAUUUGCGGUUAAAGGGUUUAAUGGAAUUUUUAAUGUGAAGUCUUAGUCUUUGGAAUCAGAACUUUUUAUCAAGAUGAUUCUAAAAUCAAAGGGAUAGAAAAGACAAAUUUCUCCAAGUGUACCAUUGACAGUGAUUACAGGAAAGGCCCCUCUAACCUAACCUCUUUGUUCCUGGACCCACGUAGUCUAGCCAGCUAUCAUGAAUAAUGCAUCAUCAAUUGGUCAUACAAUACUUUAAAACUCAUAUUGUAUCUCAAACGAGCAUCUUUCAUUCCAAUCAUCUGGAGUGUCUCAACUAUUCCAAGCUCAUGCCCCAGCUGUUCCUUGAGAGGCCAUCCAACUUUCUGUCAGCCUGGUGGUUUCUGAGUGAUGUGGUGUAGAGUAAGGAUGGUCAAUCUCAUGGUCAUGUGCCCAUCAUCACAUCGACUUUGCUGCCUUUGAGUGACUGGGUGGUUGAGCUGCUGGCAUUGACAUUGACUCAUACUUUAUGCUCAUUCUCACAGGAUUUUCUAAUAUGUUGUUUGCCAAACUUCUAUGUCUCUGUUCUUUAUUCUUGUACUUCUUGAUCUCUAACCCAAUCAAGUUAUUCAUCAAUGUUCAAGAGACCUUUCCUUGGACCACUUCUUCCACACAAAUGUGAUGGUCAGAAUGUCCCUGUCCACUGAGAGGAUUUCCCCUCUUCACUGUAUAUCAGGGAAACUCUUGAGUAAAGCUGUAGUUUGUAAGCAGUCCGCCUUUUAAACCCACACAGCUGUGAAGUGAGGGAAAGAUCCUAGUACAGUGGAGAUCACGUAUCUCCACAUGCAUGGGUUUUCAGCCUACCUGUGCUUUCCAGACCUGCUUAAUCCCAAACAUACAAUUUUCAUUGAAUGACAGAUUGCUGCUGAGCCUUGCAAAGCCUAUAGCUUGUUGGCAGUGAUGAUACCCUAUUCAUGAUGUACAGCAUCUGUCACAUAAUCUAAUGUUCCAUACUAGGCACUCAAUCUCUAUUAAGCAUAUACCGGUAACAGUUCAGGAGCUACUUUUUGAAUAGCAAAUCGUUCUCUGAUGCAGAUGGCAUUAUCUUGCUCCAGAAACCUUGGGUUCCGACUGAGCCUCUACUCUAAGAUUUGCCUGAGGCUCCACAUGGUGUCCUUUUCAACUAUUGAUAUUUGUAGCACUAUUGGAUCUGCUGGAUCAUAUGGCCCAAGUAGUAGGGAUGCUUAUACUGCAGAGCUAUUUCUUGCUCUGGGCUCACUCAAAGCUUGCAGCUGUCUGAAUCAUCCAAUAAAUGGGUUAGAGGAGGAGUUCCAAGUUUAAUAUAUAAUAUCUCCAAAUUCCAAAAAUGUUUACCAAACAUUGUGCCUCUUUCUUAGUGGUAGGAGGUGCAAUGUACAAUAGCUUGUCUUUACCUUAAAGGGGAUGUCCUGGCAUGCUCCACACCUCACAGUUCCUAGAAACUUUACUAAAUCUUUGUGUUUUUUUUUUUUUAAUCUCCUUCCUGCUAGCAUGCAUGGGUCUUUCCAGAGCAUAGGAAAGAAUGACCAUUUCCUGGUCCACAGGUCUGAUUAACGUGAUAUCAAUAUACUUGACCAGCAUGAUUUUCUGUAGACUGUCCAGAUGAUUAAAGUACCUUGGGACCAUAUUGCGACAAAGAUCAGAAGAAGUAGAGAUGGUGAAUAUGUAAAAUUAUCUGUCCUAGGUUAUUGUGAACUGCCUUUGACCCCUCUUCUCAAUCGGCAUAGGAAAGAAUGCAUUUGCUAAAUCAGUAUCCACAUACCAACUGAAAGAGCCUAUUUGAUAUAGUUCUAAAUCUAGUAGAGAUAUCACAUCCAGCACAACAACUGUAAUUGGGACUAUCAUUUAGCUAAGUUUGUGCUAUCCCCUCAUCAGCUACCAUGAUCCAUCUGGUUUUUUCAAGAACCAUAUGGUUGAAUUAAAUGGAGAUACGAUGAGAACUACCAUGUCUGCAUGUUUUAAAUCUUUGAGAGUGGUGCUAUUCUCAGGUAUAAUCCCUCUGAUGCAGCAUCACUUUGGAUUUAUUAUCUUUGGUGAGAGAGAGAGACAGUUUCAGGGACUCCCACUUGGCCUCGCCUACCUUUAUGACUCUUACUUCAUAGGUCAGGAAACCAAUAUGAAGCUAUGGCCAGAUGCUGUGCAUAUCUGUCCCUAUUAUGCAAUCUAGGACCAAGGAAAUAGACUCAAGGUGGACUCAUGUGACAUGGACUUUGACCAGAACCCCAUUUAUCUCCUGACAUCUGUAAAUUUCAACAACAAGGUGUCAUGAUGGUAUUAGGGCCUUAAUGGCAUCCUAAGAGUAGCUGUUGAUCAGUACCCAUAUCCUUAAUCAAAAGCUGUUAAAAGAUCUAGACUUGUCCCUUUCCAUAGUUUAUAUUUACUCUGAAAAACAGCUAUCGAUUCUUUGGGGAAAAUAUUGGAGCAAGGGCUACGGAUAAUCCUUCUGUUAUGUUGCAAGAUCUUACCUCCAGGACACCACCCCACCCAACAACUCCUCAAAUCUAUGGAUCUCAGUCUAUUACCCUCAGUAUGUACCUCCAGCAGGAACACUGACUUUCUUUGGAAAUAAAAAUAUUAUUCACCAAAAGAGCUGUAGGGUCUAGAAAAUAUGGAACAGCAGGAACCUUCUGGUUCCUGGUGAGUAACAUCUUUCUUCCCAGAGAAGGGUCGAUACUUCUCACUUGUGACAUGCAGAAGUUUGAGCCUAGUCACUGGUCUAGAAUCAAAGAGGGGAAGUGGGGCCAUAUCCUCAGGAGGAAAAAUAUUAUAUUGUAAGACAUUUGUAAGGAUAAGCAGGUCCAUAGUCUCCAGAUAAUGAGAGGUUACUCUCCUCUAACAAGAAGGAGGAAGUAGGCUUUUAUGCAGAUUCAAGUAAAUCUGGGAGAUUUAAGGUUCUCGAGUGUAUCUACCCAAAGCUCCCCAUUCCAGGUCUCAAUGUCCCACCUCUUUUUUUUUUUUUAAAAAAAAAAACGGGGUUUCACCGUGUUGGUCAGGCUGGUCUUGAACUCCCAACCUCAGGUGAUCCACCCGCCUUGGCCUCCAAAGUGCUUGGAUUACAGGCGUGAGCCACCACGCUCAGCCAUCCCACCUCUUCUAUAUCAGAUCUCACACUUUAGUGUAGGCGAUUUAUAUCUCUACCACCGUUAUAACCAAAUGUUGUGUCUGAUUAUUCAUUACAGUUUGUCUUCAGGCCACAGGAGAUGUGGGU